GGAUUAGAUACCCUGGUAGUCCACGCCCUAAACGAUGUCAACUAGUUGUCGGAUCUAUUUAAAGAUUAGGUAACGUAGCUAACGCGUGAAGUUGACCGCCUGGGAAGUACGGUCGCAAGAUUAAAACUCAAAGGAAUUGACGGGGACCCGCACAAGCGGUGGAUUAUGUGGAUUAAUUCGAUGCAACGCGAAAAACCUUACCUACCCUUGACAUGCUCGAAAUCUUGCAGAGAUGUGAGAGUGCCCGAAAGGGAAUCGGGACACAGGUGCUGCAUGGCUGUCGUCAGCUCGUGUUG
rnacentral:rRNA from 1 species